UGCCUUCCGUAAGAAAUGUAUUCUUUCCUUAGUUUGUUAAAUACUGCCACCCUGUGGUCAAAUUGUGAUAUUGACGACGCUAUAAACAACCGCGAACCUACUUCCGGUUCUCUUCCGAUUCACUCGACAAGGAAAGACCACGCCGUACUAUCACUCUCGCAAACUAUCAAAUACGUUUGAACUAUAGAAAUGAUUUGUCUUUCUACAAAAACAAAGUUAUGAAGAAACUAACAUCCGAUAAAGAAACAAGAAAAGCAA